rnacentral:rRNA from 1 species
AACGCGAAGAACCUUACCUACCCUUAACAUCCCGCGCUAGUGCCAGAGAUGGCAUGUUCCCUUCGGGGACGUGGAGAUAGGUGCUGCAUGGCUGUCGUCAGCUCGUGUCGUAAGAUGUCUGGUUAAGUCCAAUAACGAGCGCAACCCCUGUUCUUAGUUGCCAUCAUUAAGUUGGGAACUCUAAGAAGACUGCCGGUGUUAAACCGGAGGAAGGCGGGGACGACGUCAAGUCCUCAUGGCCCUUACGGGUAGGGCUACACACGUACUACAAUGGCAGAAACAGACCGUUGCGAAAUCGUGAGAUGGAGCUAAUCGGUAAAACACUGCCUCAGUUCAGAUUGCAGUCUGCAACUCGACUGCAUGAAGUUGGAAUCGCUAGUAAUCGCUGAUCAGCAAGCAGCGGUGAAUACGUUCCCGGGCCUUGUACACACCGAGACGUA